CAGCCGCCGCGGGAAUACGAAGGGUGCAAGCGUUACUCGGAAUUACUGGGCGUAAAGCGUGCGUAGGUGGUGGUUUAAGUCCGUUGUGAAAGCCCUGGGCUCAACCUGGGAAUUGCAGUGGAUACUGGGUCACUAGAGUGUGGUAGAGGAUAGUGGAAUUUCCGGUGUAGCAGUGAAAUGCGUAGAGAUCGGAAGAACACCAGUGGCGAAGGCGGCUCACUGGACGACUGUUGACGCUGAGGUGCGAAAGCGUGGGGAGCAAACAGGAUUAGAUACCCCGGUAGUCCCUGUCUCUUAUACA
rnacentral:rRNA from 1 species